rnacentral:rRNA from 1 species
AUUGAACGCUGGCGGCACGCUUAACACAUGCAAGUCGAGCGGCAGCGCGGAGAGUAGCAAUACUUUCUGGCGGCGAGCGGCGGACGGGUGAGUAACACGUAGGAACCUACCCAAGAGAGGGGGACAACCAAGGGAAACUUUGGCUAAUACCGCAUAAUCUCGAGAGAGAAAAGUUGCCGCAAGGUGACGCUUUUGGAGGGGCCUGCGUCCGAUUAGUUAGUUGGUAAGGUAAUGGCUUACCAAGGCGCAGAUCGGUAACUGGUCUGAGAGGACGACCAGUCACACUGGGACUGAGACACGGCCCAGACUCCUACGGGAGGCAGCAGUGGGGAAUCUUGGACAAUGGGGGCAACCCUGAUCCAGCGAUGCCGCGUGAGUGAAGAAGGCCCUCGGGUCGUAAAGCUCUUUAGUUUGGGAAGAAGUGUGGUGAUUGAUAAUGUCAUCAUAUUGACGGUACCAAAAGAAUAAGCACCGGCAAACUCUGUGCCAGCAGCCGCCGUAACAC